rnacentral:rRNA from 1 species
AUUGAACGCUGGCGGAAUGCUUUACACAUGCAAGUCGAACGGCAGCACGGGGGCAACCCUGGUGGCGAGUGGCGAACGGGUGAGUAAUACAUCGGAACGUGCCCGGUCGUGGGGGAUAACGUAGCGAAAGUUACGCUAAUACCGCAUACGAUCUGAGGAUGAAAGCGGGGGACCUUCGGGCCUCGCGCGAUCGGAGCGGCCGAUGUCAGAUUAGGUAGUUGGUGGGGUAAAGGCCUACCAAGCCGACGAGCUGUAGCUGGUCUGAGAGGACGACCAGCCACACUGGGACUGAGACACGGCCCAGACUCCUACGGGAGGCAGCAGUGGGGAAUUUUGGACAAUGGGCGCAAGCCUGAUCCAGCCAUUCCGCGUGCAGGACGAAGGCCUUCGGGUUGUAAACUGCUUUUGUAUGGAACGAAAAGGCUCUGGCUAAUACCUGGGGCUCAUGACGGUACCGUAAGAAUAAGCACCGGCUAACUACGUG